UUUUUGGUGGAAGUUUACAUGGUAAUGUACAUCAUAUAUUUUUUUUAGUUUUAUCAUUCUCUUAUUUUAGAAGUUACAGGGGGGGGGGGACACACAUUUUACCACUUUGGAAGUGUCUGUCGCGCAAACUAUUCAGUUUAGAAAAAAAUAAUAUUAGAAACCUCAAUAUCAUUUUUGAAGACCUAUCCAUAGAUACCCCACACGUAUGGGUUUGAUGAAAAAUUUUUUUUUGAGUUUCAGUUCGAAACGUAUAAAAAAAAAACUACUUACUAGAUCUCGUUCAAACCAAUUUUCGGUGGAAGUUUACAUGGUAAUGUACAUCAUAUAUUUUUUUUAGUUUUAUCAUUCUCUUAUUUUAGAAGUUACGGGGGGGGGACACACAUUUUACCACUUUGGAAGUGUCUCUCGCGCAAACUAUUCAGUUUAGAAAAAAAUGAUAUUAGAAACCUCAAUAUCAUUUUUGAAGACCAAUCCAUAGAUACCCCACACGUAUGGGUUUGAUGAAAAAAAUUUUUUUGAGGGAUUUAUGACGUAUUAAAAAAAACUGCUUACUAGAUCUCGUUCAAACCAAUUUUCGGUGGAAGUUUGCAUGGUAAUGUAUAUCAUAUAUUUUUUUUAGUUUUAUCAUUCUCUUAUUUUAGAAGUUACA